rnacentral:lncRNA from 1 species
GAGGGCCUGGGGUGCGGCGGCUGGCACAAGCUGGUCUGAGCCAGUCCGAGUGCCCAUCCUGUGGCAGGGUCCAUCUUCAAGGGCUUCCAGGAGCCGGACAUCCACUUCCUCCCAUCAUACAAGUUUGACAUCGGGAAGGACACGUACGACAGCACCUCCAAGCAGAGGACGCCCUCAUACACGGUGAGGCCUGCCCACCGCUGCGGUGCAGAGUGCUUCCAGGGCAGGCAUCUCCCACAGCCGGGAACCGAUGCCUGGCGUCAGGGGUCUGAGCCUGGACGGCCUGGACUUGAAACUCAGCUCUGCACCUUGGCCUUGUGGCAAGUCCCCUUUGGUGGAGAACGGCGCCCUCUCCAUGGGUGUUUUCAAGGCUGGGUGAGCCGGCUGGCACACAGGGCACCAGCCAUGCCCUCGCCUCCGGCCUGCAGAGCCUCUGCCCUCUGCCCGUUGCACCCUCGCUCACCCUCCUGCCAGGCCCAUGGCUGCAUCUCUGGGCAUGUCCCGAUAUCUGGAUAUCUGCUGGAAGCCUCAAGAAGCCACUGAGGCAGGGCAGGGUAGGAGCAGCCGCUGUCCACAGGGUCUCUCCAGCGGCGAGGGACAGGCCCUGGCCCAGCUGGCCACAGACGCCAGGCAACAAAAUGGGCAUGAGUGUCAGGGGUCCCAGAAGGCUUCCUUGUGGGGGGCGCUUGAGAACAGCAGGGAGGUGAGCGGGCCACGCCCCACGGCUCCUCACAAGUAACUGGACCUCCUGCCUCUGCAAUCUUCCCAAAGGACCGCGUCUUGUACAGAAGCCGCCACAAGGGUGACAUCUGUCCUGUGAGCUACUCUUCCUGCCCCGGGAUCAAGACGUCCGACCACCGCCCUGUGUAUGGCCUCUUCCGGGUGAAAGUGAGGCCGGGGCGAGACAAGAAUUAAAAGACGGAUUUCGAAGGAGAUUCAGAGGCAGCAAGCACUACAGAGUCAGAACUCCAGCACCAUCUGCUCCGUUUCUUGAAGUUUGCUGAACGAGGACUCACAGCUGCAACGUGGGGUGAUUGUAUUGAUCAAAACCCACUGGGAAGGACAAAGAGUUUGCCGCCUUUCGGGGAUCCGAGGGACUGUGGCGACCGUGCCUCUGUGCCAGCGUCCCAGGAAGGAAGCCAACCCUGAGCGAGCCUGUCCUCUGUGGCAGGUCCACACGGUGUGGGUGGGCAGGGCUUGGACCCCCGUCUCCAUGGCAGGUCCAUACAGCAUGGGUGGCAGGGUUUGGACCCGCCCAGCAGCACCACGGACCCCAGCCACUCUCGGGGGCAGACGUCAGAAUCCGUUCCUGAGCAGCUCCUGUGCCCUGGGGGCAGUCACAGAGCCCCCCAACACCCCCGUGCUCUGCACCAGCCUCUCCCUCCACACCCGAAGCAGGCGUCCAUCUGUGUCCUCCUGGCAGCCCCUCAAACACACACCACCCCAUGUCACACGGGUAUCCAGAGCAAGGCUGGAUCUGGGCUAGGUGACCCCUGGGGCCUCAGACCUCUGAGUGGGCCCCAGAGCCCAGCUGAGGAAGCCACACAGCCUCCAGGACGUGGCACGGUUCCCCUCCACUUGGCUGCAAGUCGCCUGCCAUGGGGCGAGGAGGCCUGCACCCCAGUAUAAGGGCCUCCCCAGCUGAGUAAGAAGCUGCUUCCCCUCCUCUCAUAGGCCAAGCCUAUUGUGUGAAACCAUCUCAUGGUCUUGGUGACGUAGACCAUUUUUGAAACCGUCUCAUGGUCUUGGUGACGUAGACCGUUUGCUUCUUUAACUCCAGCCGCGGAAUGACAUUAGUGGAACCGGGCUAGGGAACUGCUGGAAGUUCAGGAUGCCACCACCUUGAACACCUAGGCCAGGGAUCCCCACCAUGUCCCGGGUUUCUUUCUUCGAGAGUAUAGAACCGUUCAUUCUUGCUUUGUGUCCCAUUCCAUCUCUUGAAAAAAUGUAGUCUUUGAAUGUGUGAAAAUCUAGGGACAUUCAAUCUAGUCUUUUAAAUUAUUUUUCCAUAUUUAUAUUUUUAAAUAAAUGCAUAUAUUGAGUCUUAAAA